UACGGAGGCAGCAGUGGGGAAUAUUGCACAAUGGGCGCAAGCCUGAUGCAGCCAUGCCGCGUGUAUGAAGAAGGCCUUCGGGUUGUAAAGUACUUUUCAGUCGUGAGGAAGGUGUUAAGGUUAAUAACCUUAGCAAUUGACGUUAGCGACAGAAGAAGCACCGGCUAACUCCGUGCCAGCAGCCGCGGUAAUACGGAGGGUGCGAGCGUUAAUCGGAAUUACUGGGCGUAAAGGGCACGCAGGCGGUUAAUUAAGUUGGAUGUGAAAUCCCCGGGCUUAACCUGGGAAUGGCAUUCAAGACUGGCUAGCUAGAGUCUUGUAGAGGGGGUAGAAUUCCAUGUGUAGCGGUGAAAUGCGUAGAGAUGUGGAGGAAUACCGGGUGGCGAAGGCGGCCCCUGGGACAAAGACUGACGCUCAUGUGCGAAAGCGUGGGGAGCAAACAGGGAUUAGAUACC
rnacentral:rRNA from 1 species